AAGGACCACGAGACUCGAGCGUAGCUAGGGAAUCACGACAGCUGAUUGGUCGACGGGAGUACCACCGCCGUCUGCCGACCAUUGCGCGCAACCGCAUCCGAGAGAUCAAUGAGACUCGAGCCGAAGAAGACACUCACCUAGAAGUACCCGAACACUCACGAGCGCGUGCGAGGUUCACCGAAGACAGGGCUGCCUAAGAAUCGGGUCGCGGUGCCGCAUAUAGUCGAUACGGAGCGACGUUUUACGUUUGACAAUUGACAAUUUUCUUCCUCGAUAGCUUCUCUUCGAGAGAUAAAUCGUCUGACAUUUUCUACUCUCUAACGCACACCGUAUAUAUAAUAUAAACAUAUGGGCAUAUGUGCUCCACAUAUUUUUCAGUGUUCAUUACUACUAACGGUGUUGAGAUUGAUCACCUCAAGGACGAUGACGCACACUACUUCCUGAAUAAUACGGUCCGUGUUACGUCACUGAUAAGACGUCACGCGUGCUUCGUGACACAGAUGACGAAACACUGUAAAAGGGAGUAAUUCAAAUGAUGGCGAAAAAGAAAGCUAGAUGACGUAAAAAUCAAAGAAGGAGGAUGAAGAAAAUGUGUUUCCGCUAAAAAAAAAAAGCAAAGAGGAAAUAAAUAAGAUCUAUAUAAUACAUAAAAUAAAUAAAAAUCUAAUAAACAGAAAAAUUUAGAAAAACAAAAAACAAUGGAAAAUAAAAGAAUAGACGGAAUAGCAGUGGAAGAUAUGACGAAAAAAAUAUGAAACGUUAAAAAAAUGAAUGCGAAAGAGAUCAACGAAGGUAGAAAUUAAAAUAAAAGAAGCAUAAAAGCAAUGACAAAAUGGAAGAUAUAAAGAUCAGUAAACAACAAGGAUAUGAAGUGAGACAAUAGAGCGAAAAGAAGAAGAAAGAAACGUAGGGAUGCUGAAAGACCAAAGUGAACGGAAAUAAAGGAGAUGGCAAAGCGAAAGAGAAACAAAGCCAUAAAUAUAAUGUGUGAAAAGAGAUGGUAAGUAAAAAGAAUAGCAGAGUGAAUGGGGGAAAUAAAUAUAAAGAGAACAAGAAAGAAAAGCAAGAAAAAGAUGAGGGUUAAUGAGACGAAAAAUAAAAUGAGUGAAUAGGAAGGGUUGGGGGGAAAAAAGGAGGAAUGAAUUUCAUCAUUUAAUUUUAGCACGAUCGCGUGCAGCCGAUGGCUGCCGCAGGGGCAUGUCAUGGCCCAGGGAGUCGCUUGCAAUAUCGAUCCUAACUUCACGCACCUGAAGCGCACCUCCUCUCCCAUAUGAAAGGAAGCUUGUUGCCGUUCCCGUUAUUACAGCUUAUCCCUUCGAUCAUCACAUUCUUUCUUUUAUCCUUUAACACCUUUUAUCCUAAUAAAUAUCGUACGUUGUCUACAUUGUGUGCAACAAACAUUUGACAAUAGAUAGUAAACAAGCGAUUAUUGUAUGAAAUUAUUCUCAGAUUUGAACAUCUGCUAUUUUAUAUAUUAGACCGCAUCGUCUCAAGUAUCGUUGGUUUUAGUUUUUCCCAUUUGCAAAGUACUCUUCCAAUAAAUUUAAGAGGCAUCCUGAGUUUAAGUUCGCGGCAUUCUUAUUGAAAAAUUUCGCACGCCAGAAAUAAUGUCCCAGAAGAUUAUAUAGCGUUCUCGCAAUAGUUCUCAGAAUUCUUCAGAGUUUGGGUUCGAAAUAUUUAUCGAGCAUAGAGAAUUAAUUUGAAAGAAAAAAGCACUUUUAAUUUUAUUAGAUUCAAUCAGUAUUAAGUAUAUUUGUGUUGAACCGCGGUUGAUUUUAAUAUUAGUAGUAAUAUUAUUAUUACUUGGGAAUCGAAAUAAUCGGAAUCUUACUAUCUGCAAGAAUAUGACAAUUAAUGACAGAAUUACCGAGAAUCUAAUUUACAAAAUUCAAAGGAAAUAAUAUUUAUUUAAUGCCCGUUAUAUUAUAUAUCACAUCAAAAUCUUUUUAACGAUUAUGAUUCUAAGAUCGCGUUUAUAAUAUUGACCUAAUAUUCAGAGUAAUAUAUAAAUAAUCCUUCGUUUUGUAAUGUUUAAACAAAUUCUGUAGUCUUCUAAUUACAUGGUCAUAAAAAUAUGAAUUUCCAUUAAAUAUCUGCGAUCCAAUUAUUAUAAGAGGGAAAAGGAAACUUGAAAUUAGAUUUAAUUUCCGUCUUCAUAUUUAAUGAAAGAUAUAACUUUUAACUCUUGAGAUUGUUUUAAAUUGUUGUUGCUAUUCCAGUUAUCCAUCGACAAAUGAACCGAGUUAAUUUUAACACGAGGAUUACCUAAUGUUUAUGCACAUGAUAGAUCGUAUACGUUCAAUAGAAACGUUCCUUUGGAGCCAGACGUAUCGCGAACAUUAUUCAGUGUGCAUAAUACAAAGACUAUGAAACGGGACUUCUUUUAUCAUAAAUUAUAUUUGACGUUACAUUCUACAUAAAUAUUUAGUUACUUACGAACUUUAUGAAUCGAUCACAUAAGAAACGUUACGUGUUCUUGUCAUGUAUUUUGUCUUCUAUAGUACUGACAAUUUCAUUAUCUUUACGUACUUUAAUUUUUACUUCUCUUAAUAAAGAUAUCAUUUCAGUGGAAUUUUGCUACGAAAUCAAACAACGUGAUGAAAUUAAUUUUGGGGACGUAAAUUCUAUAAUUAAUAGUAGUAUUUGUCAUAUUUCGUUUUCUAUAAUAAAGAUUUAUAAUAUAAUAUAAUUUAUAUUUACAUCAUAAAAUGUAAAUAUGAACCUACUCAUGAUUUUAUCUCAAUAAAUCACUGAUUUGAAAGUAGAUUUUUGUGUCUGGUGUAUUAACAGUUAUGUUAUAAAUGACAUGUUUAUUCAUCAAUUAAAGAUAUAAAAACAGGAUAAAAAGUCGAAAAAAAAAUUGACUUACAUGAAGGAAUGUCACGAUAUCUUCUGAAAUAGUAACUCCGCCACGACGUGCGAGAACUUUCGGAGGAACUGCAAUAUCCAAAGCAAGUUUCGAUAAUUCCACCAUAAUGGUAGAUGCUUCACUGAUUCUCACCCGUUUUCUUUAAAUUAAAAAUAUAUGAAUCACAUGACUGAGUAAAAAAAAGACAUAUUACAUAUGUAAUAUCAAUUCCACUAAAUAUUUAAAUAUUUUUUAGACAAAUUUAUUCAUUUAGUCAAACAUGCAAUUUACACGUCCGUCGAACUGUAUGAUGUUCUUGAUCGUGGUAAAUAAACACGUUCGAUAAGAUCAUAACCUCA